rnacentral:rRNA from 1 species
CAGCAGCAGCCGCGGUAAUACAGAGGGUGCGAGCGUUAAUCGGAUUUACGGGGCGUAAAGCGUGCGUAGGCGGCUUCUUAAGUCGGAUGUGAAAUCCCUGAGCUUAACUUAGGAAUUGCAUUCGAUACUGGGAAGCUAGAGUAUGGGAGAGGAUGGUAGAAUUCCAGGUGUAGCGGUGAAAUGCGUAGAGAUCUGGAGGAAUACCGAUGGCGAAGGCAGCCAUCUGGCCUAAUACUGACGCUGAGGUACGAAAGCAUGGGGAGCAAACAGGAUUAGAUACCCGGGUAGUCCCUGUCUCUUAUAC